GGAGAGUUGGUCGAGCGGCUGAAGGCACCGGUCUUGAAAACCGGAGAAGGCAUUCGUCUUCCGUGGGUUCAAAUCCCACACUCUCCACCA
rnacentral:tRNA from 1 species